rnacentral:rRNA from 1 species
AUUGAACGCUGGCGGCAGGCCUAACACAUGCAAGUCGAGCGGAUGAGGGGUGCUUGCACCCUGAUUCAGCGGCGGACGGGUGAGUAAUGCCUAGGAAUCUGCCCGAUAGUGGGGGACAACGUUUCGAAAGGAACGCUAAUACCGCAUACGUCCUACGGGAGAAAGUGGGGGCUCUUCGGACCUCACGCUAUCGGAUGAGCCUAGGUCGGAUUAGCUAGUUGGGGGGGUAAAGGCUCACCAAGGCGACGAUCCGUAACUGGUCUGAGAGGAUGAUCAGCCACACUGGAACUGAGACACGGUCCAGACUCCUACGGGAGGCAGCAGUGGGGAAUAUUGGACAAUGGGCGAAAGCCUGAUCCAGCCAUGCCGCGUGUGUGAAGAAGGUCUUCGGAUUGUAAAGCACUUUAAGUCGGGAGGAAGGGCUGCAGGUUAAUACCUUGCAGCCUUGACGUUACCGACAGAAUAAGCACCGGCUAACUUCGUGCCAGCAGCCGCCGUAACAC